rnacentral:rRNA from 1 species
UACGUAGGGGGCGAGCGUUGUCCGGAAUUAUUGGGCGUAAAGAGCUCGUAGGCGGUGUGUCGCGUCGGCCGUGAAAACCUGGGGCUUAACUCUGGGCUUGCGGUCGAUACGGGCAUCACUGGAGUUCGGCAGGGGAGACUGGAAUUCCUGGUGUAGCGGUGAAAUGCGCAGAUAUCAGGAGGAACACCGGUGGCGAAGGCGGGUCUCUGGGCCGAUACUGACGCUGAGGAGCGAAAAGCGUGGGGGAGCGAAACAGG